rnacentral:rRNA from 1 species
UGGGGAAUUUUGGACAAUGGGGGAAACCCUGAUCCAGCCAUCCCGCGUGUGCGAUGAAGGCCUUCGGGUUGUAAAGCACUUUUGGCAGGAAAGAAACGUCGCGGGUUAAUACCCCGCGAAACUGACGGUACCUGCAGAAUAAGCACCGGCUAACUACGUGCCAGCAGCCGCGGUAAUACGUAGGGUGCAAGCGUUAAUCGGAAUUACUGGGCGUAAAGCGUGCGCAGGCGGUUCGGAAAGAAAGAUGUGAAAUCCCAGAGCUUAACUUUGGAACUGCAUUUUUAACUACCGGGCUAGAGUGUGUCAGAGGGAGGUGGAAUUCCGCGUGUAGCAGUGAAAUGCGUAGAUAUGCGGAGGAACACCGAUGGCGAAGGCAGCCUCCUGGGAUAACACUGACGCUCAUGCACGAAAGCGUGGGGAGCAAACAGGAUUAGAUACCCUGGUAGUCCACGCCCUAAACGAUGUCAACUAGCUA